rnacentral:rRNA from 1 species
CCUACGGGUGGCUGCAGUGGGGAAUAUUGGUCAAUGGCCGGGAGGCUGAACCAGCCAAGCCGCGUGAGGGAAGACGGCUCUACGGGUUGUAAACCUCUUUUGUCAGGGAGCAAGGUGCAGGUCGGGCCCUGCUGUGAGAGUACCUUAAGAAAAAGCAUCGGCUAACUCCGUUCCAGCAGCCGCGGUAAUACGGAGGAUGCGAGCGUUAUCCGGAUUUAUUGGGUUUAAAGGGAGCGUAGAUGGGUUGUUAAGUCAGUUGUGAAAGUUUGCGGCUCAACCGUGAGAUUGCAAUUGAUACUGGCAGUCUUGAGUACAGUUGAGGUAGGCGGAAUUCGUGGUGUAGCGGUGAAAUGCUUAGAUAUCACGAAGAACACCGAUUGCGAAGGCAGCUUACUAAACUGCAACUGACGUUGAUGCGCGAAAGUGUGGGUAUCAAACAGGAUUAGAUACCCCUGUAGUC